GAGUAAACAGAUUUGUUUUCAUCAGUGUUAGCAAGACCUGGAAGGAUGCUCAGAGCUACUGCAGACAGUAUUACACAGACCUGGUCAUCAUUCAGAAUCAAACUGAGCGUAACCAACUGAGUAUAAUGCAACCAUAUACAAGUGCUUGGAUUGGACUGUUCAGAGACGUGUGGAAAUGGUCAGAUGAAACAGAAGUCUCCACUUCCUCCUUUACUAGACUGCCUUUACAAUCUGGGCUGCAGAGUCCUUGUGGUGUUUCAGAUCCUGAUGGAAUGAUCAGUUAUCAGGACUGCUCAAACGUUCUCCCUUUCAUCUGCAUGUACCGUGCAAAAAAACAGAUUGUAAGACUGAGGGUCAACUCUGGUUCAAAUCUUAAUGAUCCUGCAGUGAUGACUGUUAUCUUACAGUGGAUAAAACAGAAGCUAAAGGAAAGGGGUAUAGAAAAGGAAACAAAAUUGACAUGGAGAAUUCAGGCAAAUGGAUAUGUGUUUUCACGAGUUACACAUUUUUAAGUUUCAGCGGCAGCAGUGGUGGUCCUGGCUCACUUUGACUCCAGCUGUUUCCUCAGAAGUGUCAACACUGUGGCAGAACAUAUAAAAGGAGUAAUUCAUGC